GUACUUGUACCUGGUGGCGAGCGGCGGACGGGUGAGUAAUGCCUAGGAAUCUGCCUGGUAGUGGGGGAUAACGCUCGGAAACGGACGCUAAUACCGCAUACGUCCUACGGGAGAAAGCAGGGGACCUUCGGGCCUUGCGCUAUCAGAUGAGCCUAGGUCGGAUUAGCUAGUUGGUGAGGUAAUGGCUCACCAAGGCGACGAUCCGUAACUGGUCUGAGAGGAUGAUCAGUCACACUGGAACUGAGACACGGUCCAGACUCCUACGGGAGGCAGCAGUGGGGAAUAUUGGACAAUGGGCGAAAGCCUGAUCCAGCCAUGCCGCGUGUGUGAAGAAGGUCUUCGGAUUGUAAAGCACUUUAAGUUGGGAGGAAGGGCAGUUACCUAAUACGUAUCUGUUUUGACGUUACCGACAGAAUAAGCACCGGCUAACUCUGUGCCAGCAGCCGCGGUAAUACAGAGGGUGCAAGCGUUAAUCGGAAUUACUGGGCGUAAAGCGCGCGUAGGUGGUUCGUUAAGUUGGAUGUGAAAUCCCCGGGCUCAACCUGGGAACUGCAUUCAAAACUGACGAGCUAGAGUAUGGUAGAGGGUGGUGGAAUUUCCUGUGUAGCGGUGAAAUGCGUAGAUAUAGGAAGGAACACCAGUGGCGAAGCGACCACCUGGACUGAUACUGACACUGAUGUGCGAAAGCGUGGGGAGCAAACAGGAUUAGAUACCCUGGUAGUCCACGGCCGUA
rnacentral:rRNA from 1 species